rnacentral:rRNA from 1 species
UACGUAGGGUGCAAGCGUUAAUCGGAAUUACUGGGCGUAAAGCGUGUGCAGGCGGUUGUGCAAGACAGAUGUGAAAUCCCCGGGCUUAACCUGGGAACUGCAUUUGUGACUGCACAGCUAGAGUACGGCAGAGGGGGAUGGAAUUCCGCGUGUAGCAGUGAAAUGCGUAGAUAUGCGGAGGAACACCGAUGGCGAAGGCAGUCCCCUGGGCCUGUACUGACGCUCAUGCACGAAAGCGUGGGGAGCAAACAGG